rnacentral:rRNA from 1 species
GACGAACGCUGGCGGCGUGCCUAAUACAUGCAAGUAGAACGCUGAAGGAGGAGCUUGCUCUUCUGGAUGAGUUGCGAACGGGUGAGUAACGCGUAGGUAACCUGCCUGGUAGCGGGGGAUAACUAUUGGAAACGAUAGCUAAUACCGCAUAACAGUAGAUGUUGCAUGACAUUUACUUAAAAGGUGCAAUUGCAUCACUACCAGAUGGACCUGCGUUGUAUUAGCUAGUUGGUGGGGUAACGGCUCACCAAGGCGACGAUACAUAGCCGACCUGAGAGGGUGAUCGGCCACACUGGGACUGAGACACGGCCCAGACUCCUACGGGAGGCAGCAGUAGGGAAUCUUCGGCAAUGGACGGAAGUCUGACCGAGCAACGCCGCGUGAGUGAAGAAGGUUUUCGGAUCGUAAAGGUCGGUUGUAAGAGAAGAACGAGUGUGAGAGUGGAAAGUUCACACUGUGACGGUAUCUUACCAGAAAGGGACGGCUAACUACGUG